UUGGGAGCUCACUGGCUUCGGAGUCAUAGGAACUCCGAAGUUAAGCGAGUUGGGGGCNNNAGCAAUCCCAGGAUGGGUGACCCACUGGGAAGUUGCUCGUGAGCUCCCAGA
rnacentral:rRNA from 1 species